GAUGAAGAACGCAGCGAAAUGCGAUAAGUAGUGUGAAUUGCAGAAUUCAGUGAAUCAUCGAAUCUUUGAACGCACAUUGCGCCUUCUAGUAUUCUGGGAGGCAUGCCUGUUUGAGCGUAAUUAAACCUCUCUCAAGUAUGAUUACUUGGAUGUGAAGGAAGAGUACCUUAAACUUAAGGAGUGUUCUCCUUUGAAAUUGAUUAGCAGAUGGUAAUGUUAUUAAAUCCCUGAUGUUGUAAGAAAUAACAGUGGUUUUGUAGACUAUUAUCUAGCUUUAAAUUAUAAUUUUUAUUAUGGUUGACCUCAAAUCAGGUAAGGAUACCCGCUGAACUUAAGCAUAUCAAUAAGCGGAGGA
rnacentral:misc_RNA from 1 species